rnacentral:lncRNA from 1 species
UCUUUUCAAGACAAUCUUUGGAUUACCAUCCCAAAAAUAUAUCAAACAUAGUAAUCUGGUGGGCCCAUUUUAAAUUAUUGACAAUCUAUUUGGGUCCAUUUUAAAUUACUGGCAAUCUAGAUAGAUUACCAGCUACCAAAUGCAACUUUAGAAAAAUCCUAACGUACACCUAGGUUGGGUUAAGGCUAAGAGAUAUAGAGAUGAGACAUGGUUAGAUUUUCUCCAUAUUAGACCCAAUCUGACGGAGAAAAUAUACAUUUGAAGAAAUAACAAAGCUUUUAUUGAUUCCUUUAAAUGAUUUGAGUACAUAUCAAUGUAUUUAUAACUUUCUAGAGUCCCUUCUAUUGAUAAGACCGGUGGGUUCUUAUUAGAUUAGGACCCAAAUUACUUGCAAACUAAGAUUCUAGAAUAAAUCCUAUAUCAUAAGGGCACUUCUAGAUGCAAAAAUCCUUUUAAUGGUGACCU